rnacentral:pre_miRNA from 1 species
ACAUAUAUCCAGAUUCAUAGUACUAGAAUAUGUCAUAUCUAGUCCUAGAUUCGUUUUUUAUAGGAUGGAAGGAAUAUUGUUUUCUUGAAGAAACGUGUACUCUCUCCGUCCUAUAAAAACCAACAUAGUACCGGAUGUGACACAUUCUAUU